rnacentral:tRNA from 1 species
UUUAAUUUGGCAGAAAGAUAUGCAAAUGAUUUAGAAUCAUUAAAUACCAAUUAAGGUAAUUAAGU